rnacentral:rRNA from 1 species
CCAUAUGGUCGACCUGCAGGCGGCCGCGAAUUCACUAGUGAUUAGAGUUUGAUCCUGGCUCAGAUUGAACGCUGGCGGAAUGCUUUACACAUGCAAGUCGAGCGGCAGCAUGGACUUCGGUCUGAUGGCGAGCGGCGAACGGGUGAGUAACAUAUAGGAACAUACCCAGUAAUGGGGGAUAACGCCGAGAAAUCGGUGCUAAUACCGCAUACGCCCUGAGGGGGAAAGCGGGGGAUCUUCGGACCUCGCGUUAUUGGAAUGGCCUAUAUCUGAUUAGCUAGUUGGUGAGGUAAAGGCUCACCAAGGCUUCGAUCAGUAGCUGGUCUGAGAGGAUGAUCAGCCACACUGGAACUGAGACACGGUCCAGACUCCUACGGGAGGCAGCAGUGGGGAAUUUUGGACAAUGGGCGAAAGCCUGAUCCAGCCAUUCCGCGUGAGUGAAGAAGGCCUUCGGGUUGU